rnacentral:rRNA from 1 species
AUGAACGCUAGCUACAGGCUUAACACAUGCAAGUCGAGGGGCAGCAUGAACAUAGCUUGCUAUGUUUGAUGGCGACCGGCGCACGGGUGAGUAACACGUAUCCAACCUGGCCGUUACUCGGGAAUAGCCUUCCGAAAGGAAGAUUAAUGCUCGAUGGUAUAUAUUUAUCGCAUGAUUUCUAUAUUAAAGAUUUAUCGGUAGCGGAUGGGGAUGCGUUCCAUUAGAUAGUUGGCGGGGUAACGGCCCACCAAGUCUUCGAUGGAUAGGGGUUCUGAGAGGAAGGUCCCCCCACACUGGAACUGAGACACGGUCCAGACUCCUACGGGAGGCAGCAGUGAGGAAUAUUGGUCAAUGGACGCAAGUCUGAACCAGCCAAGUAGCGUGAAGGAUGACUGCCUUAUGGGUUGUAAACUUCUUUUAUACGGGAAUAAAAGACAUUACGUGUAGUGUUUUGCAUGUACCGUUAUGAAUAAGCAUCGGCUAAUUCCGUG